UUGAACGCUGGCGGCAGGCCUAACACCUGCAAGUCGAGCGGAUGAAGGGAGCUUGCUCCUGGAUUCAGCGGCGGACGGGUGAGUAAUGCCUAGGAAUCUGCCUGGUAGUGGGGGAUAACGUCCGGAAACGGGCGCUAAUACCGCAUACGUCCUGAGGGAGAAAGUGGGGGAUCUUCGGACCUCACGCUAUCAGAUGAGCCUAGAUCGGAUUAGCUAGUUGGUGGGGUAAAGGCCUACCAAGGCGACGAUCCGUAACUGGUCUGAGAGGAUGAUCAGUCACACUGGAACUGAGACACGGUCCAGACUCCUACGGGAGGCAGCAGUGGGGAAUAUUGGACAAUGGGCGAAAGCCUGAUCCAGCCAUGCCGCGUGUGUGAAGAAGGUCUUCGGAUUGUAAAGCACUUUAAGUUGGGAGGAAGGGCAGUAAGUUAAUACCUUGCUGUUUUGACGUUACCAACAGAAUAAGCACCGGCUAACUUCGUG
rnacentral:rRNA from 1 species